rnacentral:rRNA from 1 species
GCAUGUGGUUUAAUUCGAUGCAACGCGAAGAACCUUACCUGGUCUUGACAUAUCUAGAAUCCUGCAGAGAUGCGGGAGUGCCUUCGGGAAUUAGAAUACAGGUGCUGCAUGGCUGUCGUCAGCUCGUGUCGUGAGAUGUUGGGUUAAGUCCCGCAACGAGCGCAACCCUUGUCCUUAGUUACCAGCGGGUUAAGCCCGGAACUCUAAGGAUACUGCCAGUGACAAACUGGAGGAAGGCGGGGACGACGUCAAGUCAUCAUGGCCCUUACGACCAGGGCUACACACGUGCUACAAUGGUAGGUACAGAGGGCAGCUACACAGCGAUGUGAUGCGAAUCUCAAAAAGCCUAUCGUAGUCCAGAUUGGAGUCUGCAACUCGACUCCAUGAAGUAGGAAUCGCUAGUAAUCGCGGAUCAGAAUGCCGCGGUGAAUACGUUCCCGGGCCUUGUACACACCGCCCGUCACACCAUGGGAGUUGAUUGCACCAGAAGUGGAUAGCUUAACCUUCGGGGAGGCGUUCACCACGGUGUGGUUGAUGACUGGGGUGAAGUCGUAACAAGGUA